UACGUAGGUGGCGAGCGUUGUCCGGAUUUCCUGGGCGUAAAGGGCGUGCAGGCGGUUUGUUAAGUGCAGGGUGAAAGCUCCCGGCUCAACUGGGAGAGGUCCUUGCAUACUGGCGAACUCGAGGGAGGCAGAGGAAAGUGGAAUUCCCGGUGUAGUGGUGAUAUGCGUAGAUAUCGGGAGGAACACCUGUGGCGAAGGCGGCUUUCUGGGCCUUACCUGACGCUGAGACGCGAAAGCGUGGGGAGCGAACCGG
rnacentral:rRNA from 1 species